GACGAACGCUGGCGGCGUGCUUAACACAUGCAAGUCGAGCGGAAAGGCCCUUCGGGGUACUCGAGCGGCGAACGGGUGAGUAACACGUGAGCAACCUGCCCCAGGCUUUGGGAUAACCCCGGGAAACCGGGGCUAAUACCGAAUAUGACCUUGCACCGCAUGGUGUUUGGUGGAAAGUUUUUCGGCUUGGGAUGGGCUCGCGGCCUAUCAGCUUGUUGGUGGGGUGAUGGCCUACCAAGGCGACGACGGGUAGCCGGCCUGAGAGGGCGACCGGCCACACUGGGACUGAGACACGGCCCAGACUCCUACGGGAGGCAGCAGUGGGGAAUAUUGCACAAUGGGCGGAAGCCUGAUGCAGCGACGCCGCGUGAGGGAUGACGGCCUUCGGGUUGUAAACCUCUUUCAGCAGGGACGAAGCGUAAGUGACGGUACCUGCAGAAGAAGCGCCGGCUAACUACGUGCCAGCAGCCGUGGUAAGACGUAGGGCGCGAGCGUUGUCCGGAUUUAUUGGGCGUAAAGAGCUCGUAGGCGGCUUGUCGCGUCGACCGUGAAAACCUGGGGCUCAACCCCAGGCCUGCGGUCGAUACGGGCAGGCUAGAGUUCGGUAGGGGAGACUGGAAUUCCUGGUGUAGCGGUGA
rnacentral:rRNA from 1 species